rnacentral:lncRNA from 1 species
GCCUCUCCAGGAUCAGCUCCUGCCCUCCGAUGGCGUCUCCAGGCCCCAAAUGGUCUCCGGUCAGUGGGCUCCUCCACGCCCAGCUUGGGCCUCCCGGUGACCUCUGCAGGCCCAAGUCGUCCUGAAGUCGGCGUCUCCCGGCCCUGCCUCCCAGCAAGUAAGCAAGCUCUUUUGGCUCAACUCCUGCCCAGCUCCCAGCCGCCUUUGUAGGCCCCGAACUUUCUCGAGCCAAGCUCUUCGCGCCCGCCUACUGCCUCUCGGUGGCCUGUACAGGCCCAGCUCUGGCUGUAGAACAGCCUCUGCAGGCUCCGCUCUUGCCUCCCAGAGGCCUCUCCAGGCCCAGCUCUCGCCCCCACGGCGGCCUCCCGGGGCCAAGUCCCUGCCUGCCUCCCGGCAGCCCGCGUGCAGCCCAGUUCCUCCCUCACGGUGGCCUGUUGAUGCCCAACGCAUGCCUCUGACACCCUGUCCAGAGGCAUGAGUCCCUGCCUCACACUGGCUCCUCCCACGCUGAGAGAGGUCCGCAUGAGCCCCUUGCCUCACACCGGCCCCUCCCAUGCUGAGAGAGGUCUGCAUGAGCCCCUUGCCUCGCACCGGCCCCUGCCAUGCUGAGAGAGGUCGGCGUGAGCCCCUUGUCUCGCACCGGCCCCUCCCACGCUGAGAGAGGUCGGCCUGAGCCCCUUGCCUCGCACCGGCCCCUCCCACGCUGAGAGAGGUUGGCGUGAGCCCCUUGCCUCACACUGGCCCCUCCCACGCUGACCCCUUGCCUCACACCAGCCCCUCCCACGCUGACAGAGGUCGGCGUGAGCCCCUUGCCUGACACUAGCCCCUCCCACGCUGACCCCUUGCCUCACACCGGUCCCUCCCACGCUGAUCCCUUGCCUCACACCGGCCCCUCCCAUGCUGACAGAGGUCAGUGUGAGCCCCUUGCCUCACACUGGCCCCUCCCACGCUGAGAGAGGUCAGCGUGAGCCCCUGCCUCAACAGGCCACCGUGAGGGAGGAGCAGGGCCGCACGCAGGCUGCCGGGAGCAGGCAGGGACAUGGCCCCGGGCGGCCGCGGUGGGGCGAGAGCUGGGCCUGGGGACGCCCCUGGGAGGCAACAGUGGGGCCUGCAGACGCUCUUCUCCUGCCAGAGCUGGGACUGUACAGGCCACUGGGAGGCAGGAUGUGGGCCUGAAGAGCUUGGCUGCAGAAACUUCGGGGUCUACAAACGCCGGCGGGAGCUGAGCCAAAAGAGCUUGCUUGCUGGGAGGCAGGGGGUGGGCCGGGAGAUGCAGCCGGGAGGAACAGCUGGGCCUGCAGAGGCCGCCAUGCGGGAGGCAGAGGCCAGGCCUCUCCAGACCCACUUGCAACCUCCCGGCGUCCUCUCCGGGCCCAGCUCUUCCUCCCGGCUGCGUCUCUAGGCCCGACUCCGGCCUCCCAACAACCUCUUUGGACUCAGCUCCUGCCCAGCUCCCAGUGGCCCUGGUAGGCCCACAACUUCCUGAAGCCAAGCUCCCCAGGCCCAGGUCAGGCCUCACGGUGGCCUCGCCAGGCUCAGCUCCUGCCCUCCGAUGGCAUCUCCAGGUCCCAAACGGCCUCCGGUCGGUGGGCUCCUCUAGGCCCAGCUUGGGCCUCCCGGCGGCCUCUGCAGGCCCAAAUCGUCCUGAAGUCGGCCUCUCCAGGUCCAGCUCCAGCCUCCCGGCAGCCUCUGCAGGCCUAAGUUGUCCUCAAGUCGGCCUGGAAGUGGGCCUGGAAGAGCUGCAAGUUGGCCUCCCUGGGCCCAGCUCCGUCCUCUUGGCCUCUCCAGGUGCAAAACUUCCUCGAGUCAGCCUCUCCAGGCCCAGCUCCUCCUGCCUCCCAGUGGCCUCUUUUGGCCCAGCCCAGCUCAUGGCUCUCAGCAGCCUUCCCAGGCCCCGCUUUUGACUUUUGGUGGCCUCUUCAGGCCCAGAACUUGACCUCCAGUCGGCCUUUGCAGGCCCGGCUUCCUGCCUCUCGAAGGCCUGCACGGGCCCAGCCUCAGCCUCACAGCGGACUCUCCACGCCCAGCUAGCUCUCGCCUCACUGCGGCCUCCCCAGUCGAAAGCUCCUGCCUUUCGGCCGCUUUGGCAGGCCCAGCUCCUGCCUGCCAGUGGCCUCUUUAGGCCCAGCUCAUUCCUCACAACGGCCUUUCCAGGCCCCGUUUUUCCCUUCCGGCAGCCUUUUGGCCUCUAAUUUGUUUAUCUUUUGUGUAUAAAUCCCAAAAUAUGGAAUUUUGGAAUAUUGCUACCAUUAUAUAAAUAUUUUCGUAUGUAAUUUAUUUGGAGUGAGUUUCUGCACCAAGCCUGAAUUUUUUAUUUUAUUUUCCUUAUUAUUUGGUGUUAAACAGGUUUAAUGACGGUCAUGGCAACUUUUUGGCACAAUGAAAAAUACCACCCA